rnacentral:rRNA from 1 species
CCUACGGGUGGCAGCAGUGGGGAAUAUUGGACAAUGGGCGAAAGCCUGAUCCAGCCAUGCCGCGUGUGUGAAGAAGGCCUUCGGGUUGUAAAGCACUUUCAGUGGGGAAGAAAGCCUUGGGGCUAAUACCCUCGAGGAAGGACAUCACCCACAGAAGAAGCACCGGCUAACUCCGUGCCAGCAGCCGCGGUAAUACGGAGGGUGCGAGCGUUAAUCGGAAUUACUGGGCGUAAAGCGCGCGUAGGCGGUCUGAUAAGCCGGUUGUGAAAGCCCCGGGCUCAACCUGGGAACGGCAUCCGGAACUGUCAGGCUAGAGUGCAGGAAAGGAAGGUAGAAUUCCCGGUGUAGCAGUGAAAUGCGUAGAGAUCGGGAGGAAUACCAGUGGCGAAGGCGGCCUUCUGGACUGAAACUGACGCUGAGGUGCGAAAGCGUGGGUAGCAAACAGGAUUAGAUACCCUGGUAGUC